rnacentral:rRNA from 1 species
UACGUAGGGGGGCAAGCGUUGUCCGGAUUUAUUGGGCGUAAAGAGCGUGUAGGCGGCCAGAUAGGUCCGUUGUGAAAACUGGAGGCUUAACCUCCAGCUGUCGAUGGAAACCAUCUGGCUAGAGUCCGGAAGAGGAGACUGGAAUUCCUGGUGUAGCGGUGAAAUGCGUAGAUAUCUGGAGGAACACCGGUGGCGAAGGCGGCAUCCUGGACCGACACUGACGCUGAGGAGCGAAAGCCAGGGGAGCAAACGGG